rnacentral:ncRNA from 1 species
ACGAAACUCUGGAGAGCAGCAAUGCACCGAAGGGGCAACCAGGCGAGGGUCGCCGGGAAUCUCUCAGGUCACAGAACAGAGGCGUAA